CCUACGGGAGGCAGCAGUGAGGAAUAUUGGUCAAUGGGCGGGAGUCUGAACCAGCCAAGUAGCGUGAAGGAUGACAGCCCUAUGGGUUUUAAACUUCUUUUAUAAGGGAAUAAAGCGCCCCACGUGUGCCUUUUUGCAUGUACUUUAUGAAUAAGCAUCGGCUAACUCCGUGCCAGCAGCCGCGGUAAUACGGAAGAUCCGAGCGUUAUCCGGAUUUAUUGGGUUUAAAGGGAGCGUAGAUGGGUUCUUAAGUCAGUUGUAAAAGUUUGCGGCUCAACCGUACAAGUGCAAUUGAUACUGGGAGUCUUGAGUAUAGGCAGGGUAGGUGGAAUUCGUGGUGUAGCGGUGAAAUGCUUAGAUAUCACGAAGAACUCCGAUCGCGAAGGCAGUUUACCAAAGCGAGACUGACACUGAGGCUCGAAAGUGCGGGUAUCAAACAGGAUUAGAUACCCCAGUAGUC
rnacentral:rRNA from 1 species